GCCAGGGGGUGACUUGCCAGAGGAAGUUCCCCCAUAAUCGCCAGUGCCCUCCCUAAGCCAACCCUCAUUAACGGACAACCUAAAUAAAAACUGCGUUUGCGAUGCAAAAGCCGCUUCAAGCCGGUCCCUGAGCCCUUGCGCGUUCCAACUGAAGGCCGCCCCUUGUCCCCUCUCAAGGAGGGAUUUCCGAGAGGCCUGCUGGGCCUCUUCCCCGCUCCCCCCCCAACUCCUUCCCUCCCGCGCCGGAGCCGCUCUUUUCGCCUCAAGGACAGCCUGUGCACGGUCAGCAGAGUGCGGAGGCGCUGGCUGCCGCUGCGCCCCGUGCCGCCCUCGGACGACUACGUCGCGGCGUGGUACUCUCAGUGCGGCCAGAGAAUGGGGUCUCAGCUCGCCGCGCCUGACCGGAGCUGGAGGCUCCCGGACCCCAGUACACUCCUGGGCCGAGAGGCUCUCGGCCCUGCUGUUCAGAACCCGGCUGACCCCAUUUUCGCCCCUUAGAGGAGUGGCUGGAGCUAGUGGACCUUUGCGCCCCAACGUAUGAGUGACCGACUCUGGCCUGGAUCUCCUGAUUGCACGCUGGGCUCAGGAGCUCUCGGGGUCGCCUUCCACUUGGAACCGGGACUUCAGCUGUGCCCCAGCUCCCGCGAGCCCCACGGAGAACGGGCACGGCAGCCUCGAUAGAACACAAAGACUGCAGCGCGUGGCGGGGCGCAGGGAACCUCAGGCAGCAAUUUCGGCUAGGCCUGGAAGAAAGUCCUGGAACGGGUGAAAUCUGCGUUAGAACGGGCUGGUUAGGGAAGAAGCGAGCAUUCCUUGCGCAGGAGUAUGCAAGCCUAGGCUGAACUUUCACUUGGAGGGGAUACAGGCAGGGUCUGCAAUUUAGAGGAAGGGGCCUGGGAGUUCCGGGUUUGCGUCGGGUUAGCCCGCGGCUGUUCUGCGUCCGCUUGGGUUGGCCCUCGAAAGCACCCUUCUCCCCCUUCUACUACUGCCAGCUGUAAAACACUCGGAUUCACUUCGCUCCCCAGCGAAGGGAGAGCGCCAAACAGGCCCGCAUUCCCUCCGGGGCCCCUCCCCUUCCCCGCUUCCUCUGCAGCACUUAAAAUGUAAAUGUACAUCGUGAUUAGC